rnacentral:rRNA from 1 species
GACGAACCGUGCGAACGUUAUUCGGAAUCACUGGCUUAAAGCGCGUGUAGGCGGCCCGCCGCGUCCGGGGUGAAAUCCUCCCGCUCAACGGGAGAACGGCCUCGGAUACGGGCGGGCUGGAGGGGGUAGGGGCAGGCGGAACUGUGGGUGGAGCGGGUGAAAUGCGUUGAGAUCCACAGGAACUCCGGUGGCGAAGGCGGCUUUCUGGACGAUAACUGACGCUGAGACGCGAAAGCGUGGGGAGCAAACAGG